rnacentral:lncRNA from 1 species
UUUCAAUAAGGGAGCUACCAUUUGAUUUUUAUGGGGGGGCUAGGAUGAAAAAUUUUUUGUCCUGCUUUUUUUUUUAGUUGUAAUCUCUGUCCUGCCUUUUUAUUUUUUACUCUAUUCGGUCCUGCCUUUUUUUUUACUAGUUUAUCCUGACUUUUUUUACAAAAAUUGUCAUCCUGUCUUUUUUUUUUAACAAGUUUCUCAUCCUGCCUUUUUUUUUAACUCAAAACUCCUGUCCUGCCUAUUUUUUUCAAAUUUCAUCCUAGCCCCCCCCCC